AGAAGUUUGAAAGGCCACCAUUUAUUUUCGAUUCAUUCACAGAUGGAUUAAUUUUUUUUCAUGAAUUUAAACGAUAAUAACAGCUUAUAAAUAGAGCUAAAUUGAGUGAAAAUCUAAACUUAAACUCGAAAUUUUAACGUUAAUUCUGAAAAUUAUUGUUCAUAAUCGAAAUUUUCGAUUGUGUUGUUAGCGAAACGAAGCAAUGAAGCUUAAAUAAUAGAAGGCCUACAUUAGUUAUUUAAUUAAACUGAAACAAAAACGAUCGAUAUGGAACAGACCCUAUAGAAGGAGUAUGAUUAGAAUAUGGAAGCGAAUGAACGGGAAAAAAAGAAUACAGAUACAUCUUCUCUUUGUUUCCGUUGUUUAAUAAACAUCAGAACAGUAUGAGUGAAGUCGUGAUAGGGGAACAACCGUAACUUCCUUUACAGAAGAGUAGACAACAGCUGUUUCGAGAACGGAGCCGUAACCUACCUUUAACUUUUUCUUCCUGGAUAGUGAUCCUUAAUUAUAAAUACAGUACGUAAUUGGUCUACUUUUGUUAGAGGUUAUCUCGAAAAUCCUACACCAGUUCCGGUCUGGAAAAGUAUCGAAAAAAAAGAAUUAAUAAUAAUCGUGCAGACGUCUCGGGAAAACGAUUAGAAGUGAUGCAAUGACUUAAAUGCCAUAUAUAAUUGCGGAGGUGACCAUAAUCGACCGUCUAGGAUUAAAUUAUAGGAUUUUAUACGUCUACGUUCGAAAGUGAAAGCCUCUCGAAUGGAACCGAUCUGCAAAUUUAACAGUAUGAGGCCCCUUGGAAUUUUUCAGGCUAUCCUAAUAGAACGUCUCCGAUUAUAAUUACCUGGAAGCACGCCAAAAUGGACAAAAUCACGUGACUGUGCCUUUCGUGACAUCGGUACCGAGUCACGUAAUUAUUGAUGGAUUAGCGUCACUAGACUCGUGAUUUUAAUGAAGCGAGGCCAUCUAUCUCUCUAAGAUUUGUCUACGGAGAGGGUCGUAGUAAGUUUAUGGCUCUGCACAGAUCUGUAUUACUUGUUUAUAUAUUUAUUUUCGAGGUUUUAAAAAAGUAAAUUAUGUAAUUAAUAAACGUAGAUCUAAAUGACUUUAUAC